rnacentral:rRNA from 1 species
CAGUAGCCGCGGUAAUACGUAGGGUGCAAGCGUUGUCCGGAAUUAUUGGGCGUAAAGAGCUCGUAGGCGGUUUGUCGCGUCUGCUGUAAAAACUGGAGGCUCAACCUCCAGCCUGCAGUGGGUACGGGCAGACUAGAGUGCGGUAGGGGAGAUUGGAAUUCCUGGUGUAGCGGUGGAAUGCGCAGAUAUCAGGAGGAACACCGAUGGCGAAGGCAGAUCUCUGGGCCGUAACUGACGCUGAGGAGCGAAAGCGUGGGGAGCGAACAGGAUUAGAUACCCGUGUAGUCCCUGUCUCUUAUAC